AGGUAUUCCAGCACACAUGCAGAUCCUGGAGCGAAAUCUUCCUUGCUGUGUCUGGACUUCUUUUAAGGAGCCUGCGUGAUUUCCCCCCAGUUCGGGAGAGGAGGGAACAGGAAAAAAAGGCAAUGCGGGAACUUCCAUCUGCCAAGCGGAGCAAGGUGAGGGCACUGUCUCGAAUGGAAUAGACCCUCCUUGCAGCGGUGUGGAUUCUGGAAUUGCCUGCGGCCACCUCUUGCUGCUUUUCAUGAUCCCCACCCCCGGAAGACCUGCCUUUGGAAACUGGGCAACUCCAGAAGCGGCAGCACCCCUGGGAAGUUCCCCCCUGCGGAGAUGCAACGUUGCCUGAGGAAGAGCUGGCAGAUGUUUUCGGGGAAGCGCACACUCAAGUAGGGGAAUUGGUUGCAAUGCAAAAGAGCUGGAGAGGGAACCCCUCUGUCCACUUCAGAAGGGACAACAUCAAGGGAAUAUACCAGGAAGGUAAUUAAAAUCUGUUCUUUUUGUGAGCAUUGCA